CCUACGGGUGGCUGCAGUAAGGAAUAUUGGUCAAUGGACGAAAGUCUGAACCAGCCAUGCCGCGUGGAGGAUGAAGGUCCUCUGGAUUGUAAACUUCUUUUAUAUGGGACGAAAAAAGGCUUUUCUAGGUCGUCUGACGGUACCAUAUGAAUAAGCACCGGCUAACUCCGUGCCAGCCGCCGCGGUAAUACGGAGGGUGAAAGCGUUAUCCGGAUUCACGGGGUUGUAAGGGUGCUUGUGAGUCAUGGUUGAAAUCCCAGAGCUUAACUUGGGAACUGCCAUUGAUACUAUCAGUCUUGAAUACCGUGGAGGUCAGCGGAAUAUGUCAUGUAGCGGUGAAAUGCUUAGAUAUGACAUAGAACACCAAUUGCGAAGGCAGCUGGCUACCCGAAUAUUGACACUGAGGCACGAAAGCGUGGGGAUCAAACAGGAUUAGAUACCCCGGUAGUC
rnacentral:rRNA from 1 species